rnacentral:misc_RNA from 1 species
UUGAUAUGUAUGGGAAAUGUGGGUUGGUCAAUGAAUCUCAACGUGUUUUUGACAGAAUGAAUAUAAAGAAUUCAGUUUCUUGGUCCGCAUUGCUUGGGGGUUAUUGUCAAAAUAAGGACUUUGAAUCUGUUAUUAGGAUUUUUAGGGAAGUGGAAGAGGUUGAUCUCUACAGUUUCGGGACUGUUCUUCGUGCUUGUGCAGGCUUGGCAGCGAUAAAGCAAGGGAAAGAGGUUCACUGCCAGUACGUUAGAAGAGGUGGUUGGAGAGAUGUUAUUGUGGAAUCAGCUUUAGUUGAUCUUUAUGCAAAAUGUGGAUGUGUUGAUUUUGCACGUAGAAUUUUCACAAAUAUGCCUGUUAGAAAUUUGAUAACUUGGAACUCCAUGAUUGGUGGGUUUGCCCAAAAUGGAAGAGGGGGAGAAGCUCUUCAAAUAUUUGACGAGAUGAUUAAGGAGGGGAUUAAACCUGACUAUAUUACUUUCAUUGGACUUCUUUUUGCUUGUAGUCAUGCAGGUUUGGUUGAUCAAGGAAAAAAAUAUUUUAUGUCAAUGACCAAGCAAUAUGGAAUUAAACCUGGAAUUGAGCAUUACAAUUGCAUGGUUGAUCUUCUAGGCCGCGCUGGUUUACUAGAAGAAGCUGAAAACUUGAUAGAGAAUGCAGAUUGUAGUGAUGAUUCAUCUCUUUGGGCAGUUCUUCUCGGUGCUUGUGCAACCUGCACAGACUCUGCUAGUGCAGAGCGCAUUGCAAAGAAAACUAUGGAAUUGGAACCUGACUACCACUUGAGUUAUGUUUAUCUUGCUAACAUCUACAGAGCAGUAGGCCGAUGGGAUGAUGCUGUAAAGAUAAGAAGAUUAAUGAAAAAUAGGGGGGUUAAGAAGAUGCCUGGUAGAAGUUGGAUUGAGUCUAAUAAUAACAUGCAUUCAUAUUUAAAUGCAGAUGAUUUCAUUAUGUCUAUAGACAAUGAUUGAGCACGUGAGUUGGAUCUUGUUCAAUGAUGAAAAGAGCAAUGUAUGGAUAAAUUACUGGAACCAACUGGAAGACUCGAGAAAAAGUUUAAAUCUCUGAGCUUCUCUUGGUCACUAUCGAAAUACUUUGAGGCAUCCAGAAGACCAGAAUGACUGAAGAAUAUUGUUUAUUGAACUCAGGAACUACGAAGGCGGCAGCCACCAUUGAACCCGAGUUAUUGCAGCUGAAUUCCAUGACCACCCAAUUUUCCUUACUGGGAGAUCACUAGGGAAUUCCCAUCUUCUGGUAUUAUCAGAUGAUGCUGACCUCUCCUAUCUCUUCACUGAUUAAUUGAUGGAUUAGGAACACAUUUCCAUAGAUUCUCUUGUAUUGUCCCUUUUGGGGACUCCAACCAAAAGAAAAGAGUCUUCACACAAUAAUUUGCGAGACAACCAAUUUUGG